UUUCAAACGACAAUCCUUGGAAUUCAGAAGUGAAACCCCACCAUGACGCUUAAAGUAAUUACGGGCGUUUUCAUUGCCACCGACCCGCAUUACACGAAGUUGCGCAUAUGUCCAAGAAUCAAGGACUGUGGAUCUAAGAAAUCUAGUAAGCAAAUUGUUCCCAACAUAUUAACAAGUAUAACAAACACUCCUUACCUUACGAACGAUAUGUGAACACCCAUAUUUCUAUGAGCAGCACUGCAAUCUAGACAAAGAUAUAUACCAAACGUUGUUGAGCUCCAUGUUGGAUUCUUGGCACCGCAAUCAAAGCAAACCUACACAAUUAGCACAAUUUUUGAAAAAGAAAGUCUUGAAUGAUUUAGCCAACCUUAUUAUCCCGUUGAGAGCGUAAAGAUGUAAGCAAUUUUUGAGAUUCUUCCUUAGUAGCAGUCAUUUUUGCAAUUUCGACUGCAACACUGUGGAAGGUAAAUGUGGUGGGUAGUGGUGGGAAGGAAGAACUGCGAAGUUAGCGUUGUAGAGAAACACAAGUGCAUGGUUUAUCAGUGCGUUGUUAAAGUUAGUUACUCAUUUAUCAUUGUAAAAAAUUGCUUCCUGAAGGAUUGUUUAUUACAGAACCUAUCAUUUGCCAUAGAUCGUUUUAACUUUUUCUUAUUUUUUUUACUGUUAAGCUCGUACGUUUUA